rnacentral:rRNA from 1 species
GACGAACGCUGGCGGCGUGCCUAAUACAUGCAAGUCGAGCGGAAGUUGAAGAGCUUGCUCUUCAACUUUAGCGGCGGACGGGUGAGUAACACGUGGGCAACCUGCCCUGCAGAUCGGGAUAACUCCGGGAAACCGGUGCUAAUACCGAAUAGUUUUGGGUCCCUCCUGGGACCUAACGGAAAGACGGUUUCGGCUGUCACUGCAGGAUGGGCCCGCGGCGCAUUAGCUAGUUGGUGGGGUAACGGCCCACCAAGGCGACGAUGCGUAGCCGACAUGAGAGGGUGAUCGGCCACACUGGGACUGGGACACGGCCCAGACUCCUACGGGAGGCAGCAGUAGGGAAUCUUCCGCAAUGGACGCAAGUCUGACGGAGCAACGCCGCGUGAGUGAUGAAGGUUUUCGGAUCGUAAAACUCUGUUGCGAGGGAAGAAACCGUGCCAAUUAACUACUGGCACCUUGACGGUACCUCGCCAGAAAGCCACGGCUAACUACGUGCCAGCCGCCGCCGUAA